AUGGUUUGAGGAUCACUGAAAUAUUUGAUAUAUUGACGUGCAAAAUAUAUUGAGGUCUAGUGAACUAUAGUGAUUGGUGAAAAUUUUCUUUGAUUCAUUUUAGGAAUCUAGGAUGAUGAGGACAUUUAGUCCUCCUACUUCAUCUGCUUUUAAUUAAUUAAGUGCGAUAAAAGGGUUGAUCGGGGAUAUUAAAUCAUAGUGGCGUAGUAGAAGCGUGGUGAACCUAAUACAUUGGUAGCAGAAAAAUGGACGAUGCGAUUGGAGAAGAUAUUUGAUGUACGAAAUUGUUCUGAUGAUCAAAAGAAUUUCUAGAGAUCAAGGACAGGAAUAGCAAGGAC
rnacentral:lncRNA from 1 species